GAUGAACGCUGGCGGCAUGCCUAAGACAUGCAAGUCGUACGAAGUGGCCCAUUGAUGAUUGAGUGCUUGCACAAGAUUUGAUUUGGAUUCCCACUUAGUGGCGCAAGGGUGAGUAACGCGUAGGUUAUCUGCCUUCGAGUUUGGAAUAACAAUUAGAAAUGAUUGCUAAUGCCGGAUUAUAUUUAAGAUGAUACGUUGUCUUAAAUUAAAAGGAGCCUUUAAAGCUUCGCUUGGAGAUGAGCCUGCGUCGUAUUAGCUAGUUGGUGGGGUAAUGGCCUACCAAGGCAACGAUGCGUAGCCGACCUGAGAGGGUGAUCGGCCACACUGGGACUGAGACACGGCCCAGACUCCUACGGGAGACAGCAGUUAGGAAUAUUCGUCAAUGGGGGAAACCCUGAACGAGCAAUGCCGCGUGAAGGAUGACGGUCCUUUGGAUUGUAAACUUCUGUUGUUAGGGAAGAACAAGCUGUAUAGGAAAUGAUACAGUU
rnacentral:rRNA from 1 species